ACAGCCACAUCACAUUGAAACACUGAUUCCCAUACGAUCACUGAGGUUAAGCAAUGUAGGGCCUGGUCAGUACCUAGAUUGGUGACCACUUAGGAAUACCAAGUGCUGUAAG